AAUAGAUACCCCGGUAGUCCACGCCGUAAACGAUGAGUGCUAAGUGUUGGGGGGUUUCCGCCCCUCAGUGCUGCAGCUAACGCAUUAAGCACUCCGCCUGGGGAGUACGGUCGCAAGACUGAAACUCAAAGGAAUUGACGGGGGCCCGCACAAGCGGUGGAGCAUGUGGUUUAAUUCGAAGCAACGCGAAGAACCUUACCAGGUCUUGACAUCCCGGUGACCACUAUGGAGACAUAGUUUCCCCCUUCGGGGGCAACGGUGACAGGUGGUGCAUGGUUGUCGUCAGCUCGUGUCGUGAGAUGUUGGGUUAAGUCCCGCAACGAGCGCAACCCUUAUUCUUAGUUGCCAUCAUUUAGUUGGGCACUCUAAGGAGACUGCCGGUGAUAAACCGGAGGAAGGUGGGGAUGACGUCAAAUCAUCAUGCCCCUUAUGACCUGGGCUACACACGUGCUACAAUGGACGGUACAAACGGUUGCCAACCCGCGAGGGGGAGCUAAUCCGAUAAAACCGUUCUCAGUUCGGAUUGUAGGCUGCAACUCGCCUACAUGAAGCC
rnacentral:rRNA from 1 species